rnacentral:lncRNA from 1 species
CUUAGCGCCCCCUUGCGGCCCAAGUGCGCAUAUGCAUUUAACGUUAUUGUGCCGCGAUCUCUACAGGGGCGAUGAAAAAAUCUUUGGCGAAUGUUGUGGCAUCUGGCGCUGACACGACCAACUCUCUCUGUCUGUCCCCAAGAGUUUAUUUAUUUCGCAAGAAUUCCGUGGAGGAAACAUUUUUUUCCAUGUUUGAAGUCUUGCUUGGCGAUGGGAUGAGUCAUUUUCUGAAGCAAUGAGAUGGAAGGAACCUUCAUAGCAUCCAACAAACAAGGAUUUCUGUGAGGCAUUGUGUUUUCCACAUUGCAGACCUCUGUAUCACCAACUUAAAUGAGCCUCCACCUGUCCACCAUGAUCUCCCCCAAACUUAAUCCACACCUCUUCAGGAAUUGCCCCAUCGUGAGUUGUGAGAAAUCCAUUCCUGUGGAAAGAUGAUGGAACAUGAACAUAUGGUCUGUGACUCUGCUAUGGACCUAGUGAAUCACUGUUGACUGUCCAUGGUUCAAGUGAGGAUUGGCAAACCUGGUCAUUUCUUGAUUACCUACAGAAUGCAAUUGCAACAUAUGCAAAAUCUUAUGCAGGAAUGGGGCUACAGCAGUGAUGGAGACACUACCUUUGACUGUGAAGAUCAGACGAUGCAAUUCCCGUUGGUCAGCCCCCCACCCCAAGGAGCCAUGCACUGCCAGAGAUCUUGAGCCAGGUCUUCAGUGGUUAUCCAUUGAUAAGAAGAACGGAGAUAAUAAAGACAGUGAGGUAUCUUGUUGAUUUCGACGUGACCAUCUUCCUGACGGUUCUUCCAAAGAAUGAAACUGGAGCCUCUUUCCACGAAUGAAUGUUUAGCUGCUUCAAGUGUGAUUCCAGCUUUUUCAAGAGCUUCUUGAUGUUCUACUUCUACUGGCCUUUAUUGUAGUUAACAUGUCCUGUGAAUGUUUUUAGGAGGCCAGUUUUGCUACAAACACAGUAAACCUCAAGUUCA